GUACCAGGUGGAUUGCCUCCGUCGUCGAGCGGCCGGGCAUAAAUCCGAACUGGUUUUCCGAAAUAGACACUAUCCGUCUCAGCCUCACCUCGACCACUCUCUCCCAUAUCUUCAUAGAGUGACUCAGUAACUUAAUCCCCCUAUAGUUAUUGCAACACUGAAUGUCCCCCUUAUUCUUAUAGAGGGGGAUCAUGGUACUCCACCUCCACGCCUCGGGCAUCUUUGCCGUCCUGAAAAUUUCAUUGAACAAUGCAGUCAACCACCUUACACCAGCCUCUCCAACGAACUUCCAAAACUCCACCGGUAUCUCAUCCGGCCCCGUCGCCCUACCCCUUCGCAUCCUGCGGACUGCCUGUCUAACCUCGUCUACCUUAAAACGUCUACAAUAGCUAAAAUCCCGACACUCCCCUGAGUGCUCCAGUUCCCCUAACACAAUAGCUCUGUCCCCCUCGUCAUUCAAGAGCGUAUGAAAGUACGACUGCCAUCUCUUCUUUAUGUGACCGUCCUCCACCAACACCCUACCGUCCUCCCCCUUAAUGCACCUCACCUGAUCGAGGUCACGACCCUUCCUCUCCCUAG
rnacentral:lncRNA from 1 species